ACGAAGGGGGCUAGCGUUGCUCGGAAUCACGGGGCGGAAAGCGCACGUAGGCGGAUUCCUAAGUCGGGGGUGAAAUCCUGGAGCUUAACUCCAGAACUGCCUUCGAUACUGGGAAUCUUGAGUCCGGAAGAGGUGAGUGGAACUGCGAGUGUAGAGGUGAAAUUCGUAGAUAUUCGCAAGAACACCAGUGGCGAAGGCGGCUCACUGGUCCGGUACUGACGCUGAGGUGCGAAAGCGUGGGGAGCAAACAGG
rnacentral:rRNA from 1 species